rnacentral:lncRNA from 1 species
AUGGUGGUUGUCUGGUUAAGUUGGCAUUCCGACCACUCGACAACCGUAAGAUCGACGGAGAAGAGGUGCAACUGACACUUUUAGAUCUACGGCCCCCAAACCCUAAUGCGUUCAAACAUUCAGAUCUGGUAUAAGAUCGACGGAGAAGAGAUGCCACAGACACUUUUAGAUCUACGGCCCCCAAACCCUAAUGCGUUCAAACAUUCAGAUCUGGUGAUGAGUUUGUUGCAAAACAUGACUUAACGAAGAUGAAUCAUGUGGUUUGUUCGAAGCCUAGGCAAGUCAACCUCUUCAGUUCCACCUUGAACGGGCCUGCUAUGAAUUGAAGAUGACAAAUGUGCUAUCAGCCAGCUGGACUUAUAUGAAUAUAAUUCAGGCCCAGACUGAGCAUGAAUUUAUGCACAAUAUUUCUGAGGAGGUCUGCUCUCAGUUACAUUCUGGAAAGUGCUCCGUUCAAUGAUAGCCAAAAAUGGUGUAAGAAAUUCACUACUUGUAGCACCAAUGCCAACUGCUUCAACAAGUCAUAUUCUUGGAAAUAACGAGUGUUUUGAGCCCUACACUUCCAAUAUCUACAGCCGUCGGGUUUUAAGUGGUGAGUUUGUUGUGGUGAACAAGCAUUUGCUGCAUGAUUGACAAUCUCACUAAGAGUAUAUCCCGCUAAUUGGAUCGGAUGAUGCAAGAUACACUUUGUUGGGAGUGCCCAACUUUGAAUAAUGAAGCGACUUCUUUUUUUGAUCGAGCCAAGCUUAUAAAAAGUGAAUUUGGAUCGAGCCGGUGAGAUAUCGAAGGAGAUUAUGUCGGUUCGAAAGACGAUCGAGCAGGUGAAGCUUGUGACGAUGGA